UGGGGAAUAUUGGACAAUGGGCGCAAGCCUGAUCCAGCCAUGCCGCGUGAGUGAUGAAGGCCUUCGGGUUGUAAAGCUCUUUCACCCACGACGAUGAUGACGGUAGUGGGAGAAGAAGCCCCGGCUAACUUCGUGCCAGCAGCCGCGGUAAUACGAAGGGGGCAAGCGUUGUUCGGAAUGACUGGGCGUAAAGGGCGCGUAGGCGGUGCGUUGCGUCAGAUGUGAAAUCCCCGGGCUCAACCUGGGAAUGGCAUUUGAUACGGGCGUACUGGAAUCCGUGAGAGGUUGGUGGAAUUCCCAGUGUAGAGGUGAAAUUCGUAGAUAUUGGGAAGAACACCAGUGGCGAAGGCGGCCAACUGGCACGGUAUUGACGCUGAGGCGCGAAAGCGUGGGGAGCAAACAG
rnacentral:rRNA from 1 species